GACGAACGCUGGCGGCGUGCUUAACACAUGCAAGUCGAACGGAAAGGCCUGCUUUCCCUUGUGGAUUGCGGGUACUCGAGUGGCGAACGGGUGAGUAACACGUGAGUGAUCUGCCCCCAACUUGGGUAUAAGCCUGGGAAACUGGGUCUAAUUCCCGAUAGGACUGCAGGGUGGUGCCUGUGGUGGAAAACGAUUUUCUAGUGGUUGGGGAUGAGCUCGCGGCCUAUCAGCUUGUUGGUGGGGUAAUGGCCUACCAAGGCGGCGACGGGUAGCCGGCCUGAGAGGGUGGACGGCCACAUUGGGACUGAGAUACGGCCCAGACUCCUACGGGAGGCAGCAGUGGGGAAUAUUGCACAAUGGGCGGAAGCCUGAUGCAGCGACGCCGCGUGGGGGAUGACGGCCUUCUGGUUGUAAACUCCUUUCGACCGCGAGGAAGCCACCUGGUUGGAAGGGUGGUGACGGUAGUGGUAGAAGAAGCACCGGCUAACUACGUG
rnacentral:rRNA from 1 species